AACAGGUGCUAAUACCGUAUAACAAUCGAAACCGCAUGGUUUUGAUUUGAAAGGCGCUUUCGGGUGUCGCUGAUGGAUGGACCCGCGGUGCAUUAGCUAGUUGGUGAGGUAACGGCUCACCAAGGCCACGAUGCAUAGCCGACCUGAGAGGGUGAUCGGCCACAUUGGGACUGAGACACGGCCCAAACUCCUACGGGAGGCAGCAGUAGGGAAUCUUCGGCAAUGGACGAAAGUCUGACCGAGCAACGCCGCGUGAGUGAAGAAGGUUUUCGGAUCGUAAAACUCUGUUGUUAGAGAAGAACAAGGAUGAGAGUAACUGUUCAUCCCUUGACGGUAUCUAACCAGAAAGCCACGGCUAACUACGUGCCAGCAGCCGCGGUAAUACGUAGGUGGCAAGCGUUGUCCGGAUUUAUUGGGCGUAAAGCGAGCGCAGGCGGUUUCUUAAGUCUGAUGUGAAAGCCCCCGGCUCAACCGGGGAGGGUCAUUGGAAACUGGGAGACUUGAGUGCAGAAGAGGAGAGUGGAAUUCCAUGUGUAGCGGUGAAAUGCGUAGAUAUAUGGAGGAACACCAGUGGCGAAGGCGGCUCUCUGGUCUGUAACUGACGCUGAGGCUCGAAAGCGUGGGGAGCAAACAGGAUUAGAUACCCUGGUAGUCCACGCCGUAAACGAUGAGUGCUAAGUGUUGGAGGGUUUCCGCCCUUCAGUGCUGCAGCUAACGCAUUAAGCACUCCGCCUGGGGAGUACGACCGCAAGGUUGAAACUCAAAGGAAUUGACGGGGGCCCGCACAAGCGGUGGAGCAUGUGGUUUAAUUCGAAGCAACGCGAAGAACCUUACCAGGUCUUGACAUCCUUUGACCACUCUAGAGAUAGAGCUUCCCCUUCGGGGGCAAAGUGACAGGUGGUGCAUGGUUGUCGUCAGCUCGUGUCGUGAGAUGUUGGGUUAAGUCCCGCAACGAGCGCAACCCUUAUUGUUAGUUGCCAUCAUUCAGUUGGGCACUCUAGCAAGACUGCCGGUGACAAACCGGAGGAAGGUGGGGAUGACGUCAAAUCAUCAUGCCCCUUAUGACCUGGGCUACACACGUGCU
rnacentral:rRNA from 1 species